rnacentral:rRNA from 1 species
UACGUAGGGUGCGAGCGUUAAUCGGAAUUACUGGGCGUAAAGCGUGCGCAGGCGGUUCGCUAAGACCGAUGUGAAAUCCCCGGGCUUAACCUGGGAACUGCAUUGGUGAUUGGCGGGCUAGAGUAUGGCAGAGGGGGGUAGAAUUCCACGUGUAGCAGUGAAAUGCGUAGAGAUGUGGAGGAAUACCGAUGGCGAAGGCAGCCCCCUGGGCCAAUACUGACGCUCAUGCACGAAAGCGUGGGGAGCAAACAGG